CCCGGGCCUUGUACACACCGCCCGUCACACCAUGGGAGUUGGUUUUACCCGAAGGCGCUGUACUAACCGCAAGGAGGCAGGCGACCACGGUAGGGUCAGCGACUGGGGUG
rnacentral:rRNA from 1 species